UACGAAGGGGGGCUAGCGUUGCUCGGAAUUACUGGGCGUAAAGGGCGCGUAGGCGGAUGUCUAAGUUGGGGGUGAAAUCCCGGGGCUCAACCUCGGAACAGCCUUCAAUACUGGAUAUCUUGAGUUCGGGAGAGGUGAGUGGAAUGCCGAGUGUAGAGGUGAAAUUCGUAGAUAUUCGGCGGAACACCAGUGGCGAAGGCGACUCACUGGCCCGAUACUGACGCUGAGGCGCGAAAGCGUGGGGAGCAAACAGG
rnacentral:rRNA from 1 species